rnacentral:rRNA from 2 species
AUUAAACUGAAGAGUUUGAUCCUGGCUCAGAUUGAACGCUGGCGGUAUGCUUAACACAUGCAAGUCGAACGGAAAC